UGGGGAAUAUUGGACAAUGGGCGCAAGCCUGAUCCAGCCAUGCCGCGUGAGUGAUGAAGGCCCUAGGGUUGUAAAGCUCUUUCACCGGUGAAGAUAAUGACGGUAACCGGGGAAGAAGCCCCGGCUAACUUCGUGCCAGCAGCCGCGGUAAUACGAAGGGGGCUAGCGUUGUUCGGAUUUACUGGGCGUAAAGCGCACGUAGGCGGACUAUUAAGUCAGGGGUGAAAUCCCGGGGCUCAACCCCGGAACUGCCUUUGAUACUGGUAGUCUUGAGUUCGAGAGAGGUGAGUGGAAUUCCGAGUGUAGAGGUGAAAUUCGUAGAUAUUCGGAGGAACACCAGUGGCGAAGGCGGCUCACUGGCUCGAUACUGACGCUGAUGUGCGAAAGCGUGGGGAUCAAACAGG
rnacentral:rRNA from 1 species